rnacentral:misc_RNA from 1 species
AACGCACCUUGCGCUCCUUGGCAUUCCGAGGAGCAUGCCUGUUUGAGUGUCAUUAAAUUCUCAAUCCCCACAAUCUUGUGUUGCUGGGUGAUUGGAUUUUGGGGGCUUGCUGGCCUUGUUCAGCUCUCCUUAAAAGCAUUAGCAGGAUAUCAUGCCAUCUGUGCUUUGUAUGAUACAUAUCUAUACAUUGUACUUAUUGUGCACAACUGCUUCCAACUGUCAUCUGACAUUUGACCAAUUUGACCUCAAAUCAGGUAGGACUACCCGCUGAACUUAA